UGAUAUGUUUGAUAUUAGGUUGUUCUAUUGGGUAUCCAACUAAAUAUCAAACAUAUUCUG
rnacentral:pre_miRNA from 1 species